rnacentral:rRNA from 1 species
UACACUCCUGCGGGAGGCAGCAGUGGGGAAUUUUGGACAAUGGGCGAAAGCCUGAUCCAGCAAUGCCGCGUGAGUGAAGAAGGCCUUCGGGUUGUAAAGCUCUUUUGUCAGGGAAGAAACGGUGAGAGCUAAUAUCUCUUGCUAGUGACGGUACCUGAAGAAUAAGCACCGGCUAACUACGUGCCAGCAGCCGCGGUAAUACGUAGGGUGCAAGCGUUAAUCGGAAUUACUGGGCGUAAAGCGUGCGCAGGCGGUUUUGUAAGUCUGAUGUGAAAUCCCCGGGCUCAACCUGGGAAUUGCAUUGGAGACUGCAAGGCUAGAAUCUGGCAGAGGGGGGUAGAAUUCCACGUGUAGCAGUGAAAUGCGUAGAUAUGUGGAGGAACACCGAUGGCGAAGGCAGCCCCCUGGGUCAAGAUUGACGCUCAUGCACGAAAGCGUGGGGAGCAAACAGGAUUAGAAACCCCAGUAGUCCCAUGA